rnacentral:rRNA from 1 species
UACAGAGGUCUCAAGCGUUGUUCGGAUUUAUUGGGCGUAAAGAGCGUGUAGGCGGCCUGACAGGUCUGCUGUGAAAACUCGAGGCUCAACCUCGAGAUGUCGGCGGAAACCGUCUGGCUAGAGUCCGGAAGAGGAGAGUGGAAUUCCUGGUGUAGCGGUGAAAUGCGCAGAUAUCAGGAGGAACACCGGUGGCGAAGGCGGGUCUCUGGGCCGAUACUGACGCUGAGGAGCGAAAGCGUGGGGAGCGAACAGG